AACCUCCGCAAUGUGAGAAAUCGCGACGGGGGGAUCCCAAGUGCCAUUCUUAACGGGAUGGCUUUUCAUUAGUGUAAAAAGCUUUUGGAAUAAGAGCUGGGCAAGACCGGUGCCAGCCGCCGCGGUAACACCGGCAGCUCUAGUGGUAGCAAUUUUUAUUGGGCCUAAAGCGUUCGUAGCCGGUUUGAUAAGUCACUGGUGAAAUCCUGUAGCUUAACUGUGGGAAUUGCUGGUGAUACUGUUGAACUUGAGGUCGGGAGAGGUUAGCGGUACUCCCAGGGUAGAGGUGAAAUUCUGUAAUCCUGGGAGGACCACCUGUGGCGAAGGCGGCUAACUGGAACGAACCUGACGGUGAGGGACGAAAGCUAGGGGCGCGAACCGGAUUAGAUACCCGGGUAGUCCUAGCCGUAAACGAUGCGGACUUGGUGUUGGGAUGGCUUUGAGCCGCUCCGGUGCCGAAGGGAAGCUGUAAGUCCGCCGCCUGGGAAGUACGGUCGCAAGACUGAAACUUAAAGGAAUU
rnacentral:rRNA from 1 species